rnacentral:snRNA from 1 species
GUGCUCGCUCCGGCAGCACAUAUACUAAAAUUGGAAUGAUACAGAGAAGAUUAGCAUGGCCCCUGCACAAGGAUGACACACAAAUUUGUGAAGCGUUCCAUAUUUUU